rfam:Clostridium sp. CAG:167 genomic scaffold, scf158
UUGAGGAGGAACCAUAUGACGAAGUCAUAAUUAAAACUGGUUCCGACGACCUGCCGCCGAGCGUCAGCGAGGGGGCAAUACACUAU